CAUUUAUUUUUCUACUUACAAAAGUACGGCGGAAUAAAUUGAACUCUUAAAAAUACCACAUUAUUGGCGAGCCAGCCCAAAUCCGUCGUUCUUGUUGCAUUUUUCAAAAAAAAAAAAAAAAACUGGGGAGGCUGACAUUCGCGUGUGACACUGGCCUACAGAAGAGACUUUCUUUUUUACGUUGACGCCAAAUUCAAGAAAGGAUUACAGCAAGAGGAGGACUGUUUUGGAAGCAAUUUGCCAACGCUGAAGGAAAAACGGACUUGAAGGCACGGAACAGACCACGUACAUUUAACUAAUUGAGAUGAGGACGAGGCUCCCGGUAUUCUGGAACUGGGGGUCAGUACUAAGUGGGAUGUUCCUGUCAUAUUCAUAAACGACACACAAUGUGUCAAGGACGAUACAAGCAGUUGCAGUUGGAUUCACCAAAUGAACAUCAGACAGGUGGAAAGACAAUGAAGCAUUGACAACAGAGGACACAUGGAAUGUGUCAAGCAAAUCUCCAUAUAGAUCACAUAUGAUUGAGAGUGGAAGAAAGUUUCCAAGAAUACACUAAUUCAUUAUGACAGUAAAAGCACGUAAUUGGACACAUUAUGAUAACACAAUAACUAGUUGGGAUGAGGGACAGGAUAACCAGGGGAGAUGGGCCAUGGAGCAUGAAUCUACAUAUUACCCUGGUCUAACAAUGAUGCAUCUAAAUUUAUACGGUUAAAAAAAA